GCGUGAAGAGAUGCGUUGUUGUCAACUAGUUUUUUAUUAAUUAUUUAAAUGUUACAUUUUUAUAUCUCAUUGCCUCACACCAUCUGAAUAUAAGUCGUAGAAGUUGAUGAUGCUGUCCAUUAUCCUGUCGAGUUCUUACAUACACUCAAUCCACCCGGAAUACCAUCUCAUAUUCUCAAUCUUAAAAUUGGAGCACCAAUAAUGUUACUGCGCAAUUUGAAUCCUCCAAAACUAUGUAAAGGUAAACAUGAAGGAGAAGUCGUAUUUAUUCCAAGAAUUCCUUUGGUUCCAUCUGACUACCAUUUCAACUUCAAACGUCUACAAUUUCCUGUUAGGGUUUGCUAUGCUAUGACUAUCAAUAAAGCGCAGGGGCAGAGUUUAAAAUUAGCUGGUGUAGAUUUGAGACAUGAUUGUUUUUCUCAUGGUCAGUUUUACGUGGCAUGCUCAAGAGUCAGUUCACCGGACAACUUGAUUAUUCUUCAACCAGAAAAAAAGACGAAAAACAUUGUUUACAAGGAAGUUUUAAGUUUGUAACUGUAUAAAACUGUUAAUUUUAUUCAUUGAUAAGUAUUAAGUGAUUGUUAUAUUUUUGUUCAUUAUGAGAAAUAAAUUUUUGUAAAAAGUUAAAACUU